rnacentral:rRNA from 1 species
UACGGAAGGGGGCUAGCGUUGCUCGGAAUCACUGGGCGUAAAGCGCACGUAGGCGGAUUGUUAAGUCAGGGGUGAAAUCCUGGAGCUCAACUCCAGAACUGCCUUUGAUACUGGCGAUCUCGAGUCCGGGAGAGGUGGGUGGAACUGCGAGUGUAGAGGUGAAAUUCGUAGAGUAUUCGCAAGAACACCAGUGGCGAAGGCGGCUCACUGGCCCGGUACUGACGCUGAGGUGCGAAAGCGGUGGGGAGCAAACAGGG